rnacentral:rRNA from 1 species
AGUGAACGCUGGCGGUAGGCCUAACACAUGCAAGUCGAACGGCAGCACAGUAAGAGCUUGCUCUUACGGGUGGCGAGUGGCGGACGGGUGAGGAAUACAUCGGAAUCUACUUUUUCGUGGGGGAUAACGUAGGGAAACUUACGCUAAUACCGCAUACGACCUACGGGUGAAAGCAGGGGAUCUUCGGACCUUGCGCGAGUGAAUGAGCCGAUGUCGGAUUAGCUAGUUGGCGGGGUAAAGGCCCACCAAGGCGACGAUCCGUAGCUGGUCUGAGAGGAUGAUCAGCCACACUGGAACUGAGACACGGUCCAGACUCCUACGGGAGGCAGCAGUGGGGAAUAUUGGACAAUGGGCGGAAGCCUGCUCCAGCCAUACCGCGUGGGUGAAGCAGGCCUUCGGGUUGUAAAGCCCUUUUGUUGGGAAAGAAAAGCAGCAGGUUAAUACCCCGCUGUUCUGACGGUACCCAAAGAAUAAGCACCGGCUAACUUCGUG